ensembl:lncRNA
UAGGGUUAGGGAGUUAGGGUUAGGGUUAGGGUUAGGGUUAGGGGUCAGGGUAGGCGCUAACCUGUAUGCACUGUCCAUCUAAUGUCGCUCACUCCACUGGGUUUCACCCCCAUGUCAGUCGGUCCAUUCCCACCAUUCUUUUUCUCUUUUGUUUUUUUCUACAGGAACUAUACUGGCACGGGUCGGCCUACGGAACGGCGACCCGGAAAGAGUUCCCUCGGACUCAGUGUGAGAGGACUCUUGGGGAGAUUGGAACCAGGUAAGUAGGCUUAUUUAUUAUUUUUUUAUGUUUUUUUGUGUUCUCAGGUAAGUAGGAUCUUAAUUAGUAUCAUGUACUUUUUUAUUUUCAGGAAAAUGGGGCUCGAUUUGUGUUAGGUGCUUUUUAAGUAAUUGUGGAAUUAUGUAUUAUAUGCUAUAUUAUCAAGUGUAUUUUGAGGAAUUUUUAUUUCAG